CAGUAGCCGCGGUAAUACAGAGGGUGCGAGCGUUAAUCGGAUUCACUGGGCGUAAAGCGUGCGUAGGCGGCUUCUUAAGUCGGAUGUGAAAUCCCUGAGCUUAACUUAGGAAUUGCAUUCGAUACUGGGAAGCUAGAGUAUGGUAGAGGGUGGUGGAAUUUCCUGUGUAGCGGUGAAAUGCGUAGAUAUAGGAAGGAACACCAGUGGCGAAGGCGACCACCUGGACUGAUACUGACACUGAGGUGCGAAAGCGUGGGGAGCAAACAGGAUUAGAUACCCGCGUAGUCCCUGUCUCUUAUAC
rnacentral:rRNA from 1 species